UUGGCGGACGGGUGAGUAACGCGUGGGUAACCUGCCUUGUACUGGGGGACAACAGUUGGAAACGACUGCUAAUACCGCAUAAGCGCACAGCUUCGCAUGAAGCAGUGUGAAAAACUCCGGUGGUACAAGAUGGACCCGCGUCUGAUUAGCUGGUUGGUGAGGUAACGGCCCACCAAGGCAACGAUCAGUAGCCGGCCUGAGAGGGUGAACGGCCACAUUGGGACUGAGACACGGCCCAA
rnacentral:rRNA from 1 species